rnacentral:rRNA from 1 species
AUACAUGCAAGUCGAGCGGACCUUUUAAAAGCUUGCUUUUGAAAGGUCAGCGGCGGACGGGUGAGUAACACGUGGGCAACCUGCCUGUAAGACUGGGAUAACUUCGGGAAACCGGAGCUAAUACCGGAUAAUAUAAGGAACCUCCUGGUUCUUUAUUGAAAGAUGGUUUCGGCUAUCACUUACAGAUGGGCCCGCGGCGCAUUAGCUAGUUGGUGAGGUAAUGGCUCACCAAGGCGACGAUGCGUAGCCGACCUGAGAGGGUGAUCGGCCACACUGGGACUGAGACACGGCCCAGACUCCUACGGGAGGCAGCAGUAGGGAAUCUUCCACAAUGGACGAAAGUCUGAUGGAGCAACGCCGCGUGAGCGAUGAAGGCCUUCGGGUCGUAAAGCUCUGUUGUUAGGGAAGAACAAGUGCGAGAGUAACUGCUCGCACCUUGACGGUGCCUAACCAGAAAGCCACGGCUAACUACGUGCCAGCAGCCGCGGUAAUACGUAGGUGGCAAGCGUUGUCCGGAAUUAUUGGGCGUAAAGCGCGCGCAGGUGGUCCUUUAAGUCUGAUGUGAAAGCCCACGGCUCACCCGUGGAGGGUCAUUGGAAACUGGGGGACUUGAGUGCAGAAGAGGAGAGU